rnacentral:rRNA from 1 species
GACGAACGCUGGCGGCGUGCUUACCACAUGCAAGUCGAACGGUAAGGCCCUUCGGGGUACACGAGUGGCGAACGGGUGAGUAACACGUGGGUGAUCUGCCCUGCACUUCGGGAUAAGCCUGGGAAACUGGGUCUAAUACCGGAUAGGACCACUGCCUGCAUGGGUGGUGGUGGAAAGCUUUUGCGGGGUGGGAUGGGCCCGCGGCCUAUCAGCUUGUUGGUGGGGUGAUGGCCUACCCAGGCGACGACGGGUAGCCGGCCUGUGAGGGUGACCGACCACGCUGGGACUGAGAUGCGGCCCAGACUCAUGCGGGAGGCAGCAGUGGGGAAUAUUGCACAGUGGGCGCAAGCCUGAUGCAGCGACGCCGCGUGAGGGAUGACGGCCUUCGGGUUGUAAACCUCUUUCAGCACCGACGAAGCGCAAGCGACGGUAGGUGCAGAAGAAGGACCGGCCAACUACGUGCCAGCAGCCGCGGUAA